rnacentral:rRNA from 1 species
GACGAACGCUGGCGGCGUGCUUAACACAUGCAAGUUGAACGGUCUGACAUGGAAGCUUGCUGAAGUGUCGGGUAGUAGCGGACGGGUGAGUAAUGCAUGAGAAGCUGCCAUUGGGAGGGGGACAACAGUUGGAAACGGCUGCUAAUACCCCAUAUGCCGAAAGGUGAAAGGGAGCGAUCCGCCCGAUGAGGUGCUCAUGUCCUAUCAGCUGGUUGGUGAGGUAACGGCUCACCAAGGCGACGACGGGUAGCCGGCCUGAGAGGGUGACCGGCCACACUGGAACUGAGAUACGGUCCAGACUCCUACGGGAGGCAGCAGUGGGGAAUAUUGGGCAAUGGGGGGAACCCUGACCCAGCGACGCCGCGUGAGGGAAGACGGCCUUCGGGUUGUAAACCUCUUUUGUACGGGAAGAAGGACGUGACGGUACCGUACGAAUAAGUCCCGGCUAACUACGUGCCAGCAGCCGCGGUAAUACGUAGGGGACGAGCGUUGUCCGGAAUUACUGGGCGUAAAGGGCGCGCAGGCGGUAUAUCAAGUCAGCUGUCAAAGACUGGGGCUCAACCCUGGUAUGCGGUUGAAACUGAUAUGCUGGAGUGCUGUAGAGGCAAGUGGAAUUCCCAGUGUAGCGGUGAAAUGCGUAGAUAUUGGGAAGAACACCGGUGGCGAAGGCGACUUGCUGGGCAGCAACUGACGCUGAGGCGCGAAAGCUGGGGUAGCAAACC